rnacentral:rRNA from 1 species
AUUGAACGCUGGCGGCAUGCUUUACACAUGCAAGUCGAACGGUAACAGGCCGCAAGCUUCUGACGAGUGGCGAACGGGUGUGUAAUGCAGCUGAACGUGCCCAGUCGUGGGGGAUAACUACUCGAAAGAGUAGCUAAUACCGCAUACGAUCUAUGGAUGAAAGCGGGGGGCCGUAAGGCCUCGCGGGAUUGGAGCUGCCGGUGUCAGAGUAUGUAGUUGGGGGGGUAAAGGCUCACCAAGCCAACGAUGUGUAGCUGGGCUGAGAGGGAGACCAGGCACACUGAGACUGAGACACGGACACGACUCCUACGGGAGGCAGCAGCGGGGAAUUUUGGACAAUGGCAGCAAGCCUAAUCCAGAAAUGGCGCGUGCAGGAAGAAGGCCUUCGGGUUGUAAUCUGAUUUUGUACGGAACGAAACGGCUCUGGUUAAUACCCGGGGCUAAUGACGGUACCGUAAGAAUAAGCACCGGCUAACUACGUG